UACGUAGGGUGCAAGCGUUGUCCGGAAUUAUUGGGCGUAAAGAGCUCGUAGGUGGCGGGUCACGUCGGGUGUGAAAGCCCGGGGCUUAACCCCGGGUCUGCAUUCGAUACGGGUCUGCUGGGGUCCGGCAGGGGAGACUGGAAUUCCUGGUGUAGCGGUGAAAUGCGCAGAUAUCAGGAGGAACACCGGUGGCGAAGGCGGGUCUCUGGGCCGGUACCGACGCUGAGGAGCGAAAGCGUGGGGAGCAAACAGG
rnacentral:rRNA from 1 species